AGCUGCCUUCCAUGAAAAGAAACGAGAUUUCCUGAAUGGAGAGCAUUCCAAGGACGCCAGUGGUCUCGGCUUGCCAAGAAGCAAGACGGCACAUGCCGAAGGAUCGUCUGCCAGGCGUCACACUAGAGGUGGUGUGAAGUAACAAAUGCCUGGACUUGGGUGCCAGGUUGAACACUGGACAGUCGCUUCUCCCUUGGACAACUCUGUUUUACAGCUUAGCUCCAUCUGGCUCGCCUUCCUCACUUCGUCCCACAAGUUUGGACUCGUGUGGCAGGUCGGCUGACAGAUUUACAGGUGCUUCUCUUUUUUUAAUGCGUCUGUGUGGGGAAUGGAUGCACACGUGCCACGAGUCAGAAAGAGGUGGUCCGCCUGUGUCAACAGUUUUGAAAGUCC